CAGUCGAAUCUUCAUUAAAAUUCUAUUCAGGAAUUGGCAGAGUCCAUGGGACUCAACAAACUGUACGAGAGAAUGAAGGACUCGACAAUGAAAGCUGCAUUUGACGGCCUCUUUCCAACAGAUAAUCCAAAGAAAACAAAAUUUGCGUUCAGUUUUUUUAGCUCCAUAGGUUUGGGAGGACUUGCAACAAGAAUGUCACAUGAAAGUGGAUCAACUUAAAGCAAUGCCUGAUUGUUGUUUACGUUGUAUGUGCAUUUAUAUUUUCCUCCACAUGGCAUUGACAGGAAUGAACUUGAGCGUCAGUUUUUGGAGAGUCUGCAAUUUAAUAUCAACGUUCCCUCCAGCAUAUACGCCAAGCGCUACUUCGAUUUGCGGACUCUUGCUGAAGCCAGUGAUCUUUCAUUUCCUGGGGAGCCUCUCAGCAAAGAUCGAGCUCAAAAGCUGGAAGCAAUGUCACGUGUGUGUGAGGACAAAGUAACAGAACAAGCACUUCGCAAUGGGUUUAAGAAAUGGUCAAGUAUGGACAAUGUAAGUACCGGUGGACCACGACAAAGUGUUGCCAUUUUGUCCUGAGUCUGUUCUACAGGGGAACAUGACCAGUGAUCAGGGAAUUAUAAACUGUCAGACAUGCAAAACUUCUUUCUAAGUGCACCACAUCACAGAAGCAUAAUGAGGUUUUGAGAUUAGAGGCAUAUAUUCCAAGAAAUGACUUCAUAUUUCAGUACUGUCAUACCUUUAUCUAUGGUUCUGUAAUUUCAGUUUCAUCUGUUGUAUGUUGUGACUUCAUUAUGGCUAAACAGUGGCAUUUAGCAUUUUUAAGUGAAGUCCUAUUACAAAGCCUUCAUUGUCCUGCCUAAAUUGUUUCAGAGUUUGAGUAUCUCAGUAAAGGAACCUAAUAAUGAGUUGUCUUGUAAGAACUGAAGUGUUACGAAAGUCUGUCAAGUGAGUAAAUAUAUGUCAUUAGAAGUAUGCCAUACAUCUUGAAGACAAA